rnacentral:lncRNA from 1 species
ACCUCUCUCUUCACCCCCGUCUUCACCGUUCUCGCUCUCUUCCUCCCUCUGUCCCCCUCAUUAGGUCGUUCCGCUUAAAGCAGCCCAUAGAGUACAGUCUUUACACCCUUUCACCAACACCCUUUCACCAACACCCUUUCACCAACACCCUUUCACCAACAGUCUUUACACCCUUUCACCAACAGUCUUUACACCCUUUCACCAACAGUCUUUACACCCUUUCACCAACAGUCUGUCCGACACAGGCAGUCUGUCCGACACAGGCAGUCUGUCCGAUGGAUGGAUCACUGUAUCAGCCCUUAUCUGUUUCCUCUAGGACCAUUUCUAUUGGCUGUUUUCUGACCCCGCCCCUAACCACCCACACUAACAGUAGAGGCUAUGUUAUUAUUGAUGAUCGGUUUCUCUUUGUGAACGAUCCAGAGUCUGCAACAAAAAAAAAUCUGUUUUAUUCAAUUGUGCUUCACUUUUUUUUUUCUUACUCUUUUUAAUGUCUUCUAACCCCUUCUAUCUAUCAAAGCAACCGUUAGUUCUAAGAGGCUUUAGCCAAACAUAGAGAUUUAUAUGCCAUAAAUCAUUUUAAAGAUCACCUUGUCGUUGUUACUAUGUCAGUUAAAUAUCGCCCGUCAAAAGCUUUUUAAAUGAUAAUCGUUUCUGCACUACGUUCGUAUAUUCUCGUAUUAUUAACGUCCCUUUAUAAAGAUUUCAUGGUCGACUCAAGUGAAGCUGUACUUUGCACAGAGUUGGAAGUCCCCAGAAAAAUACAAUGGCCUAUCAUGAGAGCGAUUCUAUGAUGACAUCACAGCACGUGUGAUUGGUUUACCCCUUAUAGAGUGGAGUUUUGUGAUGAGUAGAACAGAGCUGUAUUGGUUACUGUAGGACUGUGUUAUAAGGUUUCAGUACAUGUAUGGCUACACUGCCUGGUGGUCCAGACUAGAUAGGCUUACAGGUAAUAAAGACAGUUGAUUACAUUCCAAAUUUCACUCCAUUCCUUAUAAUAGUGCACUACUUUUGACCUUGUGGUGCAGGGUCCUGGUCAUGAGUAGUGUACUAGAAAGGGAAUAGGAUGCUAUUUGGGAUGCAGCUAGGGAGGAUAUGGAGUGAGCGGUCAGUUCAGGUCACAUGAUGAUGAUAUAACAUCAUACAGGUGUCGAGUCUGUGAGUAUCUGUACCAACGCCUUCUGAAGCAACUGUAACACAUGUAAUACAUCAACUGUAAACCAGCAGUAAUGUGUACUGUAUCAUGUACUGUAAGCCCCUCCCCCUCAAAACAACAGUGCAGUAAAAGGUUCAUCUUCAUCACUACUAUUAUUGCUGUUAUAAUUAUGAUCGGUAUAAUUUGUCAUCGUUAGCUAAAAUGGAAGCACCAGAAUGUUGUGGAGAGAGCCCUUUUAUAUUCGUCUGGCUGUGGAGGAAGUGAUUUCACAAAGGAAGACUGGAACAGGAGGAGAGGCUUGAUGAUGUAAAGAUGGUGGUCGUGUUUGUACGGUUGAGAAACGACUUACAGUGCUGAAAUAAAAUUUAUUCUUUUAGUAAAAAAAAAAAAGUA